AUUGAACGCUGGCGGCAGGCCUAACACACGCAAGUCGAGCGGAUGAAGGGAGCUUGCUCCUGGAUUCAGCGGCGGACGGGUGAGUAAUGCCUAGGAAUCUGCCUGGUAGUGGGGGAUAACGUCCGGAAACGGGCGCUAAUACCGCAUACGUCCUGAGGGAGAAAGUGGGGGAUCUUCGGACCCCACGCUAUCAGAUGAGCCUAGGUCGGAUUAGCUAGUUGGUGGGGUAAAGGCCUACCAAGGCGACGAUCCGUAACUGGUCUGAGAGGAUGAUCAGUCACACUGGAACUGAGACACGGUCCAGACUCCUACGGGAGGCAGCAGUGGGGAAUAUUGGACAAUGGGCGAAAGCCUGAUCCAGCCAUGCCGCGUGUGUGAAGAAGGUCUUCGGAUUGUAAAGCACUUUAAGUUGGGAGGAAGGGCAGUAAGUUAAUACCUUGCUGUUUUGACGUUACCAACAGAAUAAGCACCGGCUAACUUCGUG
rnacentral:rRNA from 1 species